rnacentral:lncRNA from 1 species
AGUGAUUCUCCUGCCUCAGCCUCCCGAGUAGCUGGAACUACAGGAUCUCAUCCAGGAUACCACAUUACAUUUAGCAGUCAUGUCUCUUUAGUCGUCUCUUUACUCCGUAUUAUUCCAACACUUCCACUUGUUGAAUCGAUGGCCUAUGUUGCUUCAUUGGGACGGCAGAACCAGGUCUUGACCAUAAAGUAAGUCUUUAAUUCCAGGCUUUUAUAUAUGGGAGAAGAGUAAUUUUUUAAAUCCACAAGAAAUCCUUCACAUAUUAUGAAUAUAUAUGGGGCAUUAUGUCAAACCACAGUGUGAAGGGAGAACAUGCCAUCUGGAGUGGGGGUUUGGAGGCACCGGGAAAUGCCUCUGCUUUGAGGAGUCGUCGUCCAGGAUUUGAGAGAGAUUUAAAGUUUAUUGUUCUAGAGAAGGCUUUCAUUACCCAAGAUUUCCCCUUCCCCAGGCUCUUAGCCACAGAAGAAGGGGCGAGGAGGCAGCAAGGUGAGUGAGUUGAUAGGAAAGGGCUGAAGGAAAAUGCUUGAAAAUACUGUCAGGGCUCUGGUUGCUUGAGCCUUGCCUCCCACUACUCCACCAGCAGAGAGCAGCAGAAGAGAAGCAAUGGAAUGGGAAGAGCUCCUCUAUAACUUGUGGAGGGGUUCAUUUCUCAUAGGUGCCAUGGGUUCUGCAACCAGCAACACCUGGGAAAGCAGCAUCUUAUUCUAAGUCAGAGAGAGGCUGAGUCCACUUGCCAUGUCCAAGUGGGGCACCUUUGUUCUCACUCGCAGAAAUAUAUAGUAUGAGCCUGUAGUGCCAUAGAUGGUAGAUGAAGAUGGUCUCUACAGACAUUGGUCAGUGUUAGCUCUCCUCAGCAGGUAUAUGGCAGAAACAGUCAGCAGACGUAUGGUGGAAACUCAGAAAGGACAGGAUCAAUACACAGAAGGUAGUGGGGAAUGAAGAAUAGGGCUGACUGGGGACAGUGGUUCAUGCCUGUAAUCCCAGCACUUUGGGACGCCAAGGCGGGAGGAAUGCUUGAGCCCAAAA